AGCUGAACAGUUUUGAAUAUGUAGAUAAAAGAAUUCCUUUUCAUCAGAAGGAAUUCUCUUGACAUACAAGCUCGAAAGAGUUCCCAUUUAGGAAGUGAAUAGUCACGAAAGGUUAUAGAAUUUUUAUGACACCUGGACUUAUCAUAUGCAACAGAAAGUUCAUCAUUCAGCUUUUUCCUGUAUGGAGAUUCCUUAAACUUUCUUGAUAAUGUAUCAACUGACAGAAAUUUAUAUGUUUCUUUAGUUUCAUGCCAAUACUGUGCUUGAUCCUUUUUCGACGUAACCUCCUGGAGGAAGU
rnacentral:misc_RNA from 1 species